rnacentral:rRNA from 1 species
CCAGACUCCUACGGGAGGCAGCAGUGGGGAAUAUUGCACAAUGGGGGAAACCCUGAUGCAGCAACGCCGCGUGAGUGAAGAAGUCAUUCGUGAUGUAAAGCCCUGUCAGCAGGGAAGAAAAUGACGGUACCUGAAGAAGAAGCCCCGGCUAACUACGCGCCAGCAGCCGCGGUAAUACGUAGGGGGCAAGCGUUAUCCGGAUUUACUGGGUGUAAAGGGGGCGCAGACGGCGAUGCAAGCCAGGAGUGAAAGCCCGGGGCCCAACCCCGGGACUGCUCUUGGAACUGCGUGGCUGGAGUGCAGGAGGGGCAGGCGGAAUUCCUGGUGUAGCGGUGAAAUGCGUAGAUAUCAGGAGGAACACCGGCGGCGAAGGCGGCCUGCUGGACCGUGACUGACGUUGAGGCUCGAGAGCGUGGGGAGCAAACAGGAUUAGAUACCCGGGUAC